GUUUGUAAUCUAAUAUAUUAUGACUCCCCCCACCCCCCUCCUAUAUUACUAUAAAGUAUUUAUUACCUUUUAAGAAAAAUCGAUCCGGGAGAAAUGCAAAACCGAUGCCGAAUGUCUAAAUGAAAACUGUGUUUAUAAACUUUGCGAUUGUUCUAAGGGUUUUAAAUGGUUUGAAGGAGAAUGCAUUAACGCUCGAUAUUUGGGUCCAAUAUGUACGCGCGACUAUCAAUGUCAAGAAGCAUUUCCUAAUUCUGAGUGCACUAGGGGGGAAUGCGUAUGUUUGCCUAAAUUUUAUCAGAACGUUAAAAUCGCCAAGUGUGAGCCAAAGAAAAAUUUGUCUGGCACAUGUUUGGAAGAUUACGAAUGCCUAAGUGACAAAUGUGUGACCGGAGAAUGUCGUUGCAAUUUCAAUUAUUUUAAAAAUGGAGAUUUCUGUUAUAAAGGAAAAAUAAUAGGAGAGAAAUGCGAAAGUACCCUCGAAUGUACCACCAUGUUAGACCAUGCCGUCUGCCAUGAAAGGGUGUGCAGAUGUGAUGAUAAUUUUUCUUCAUCCGAAUCAAAAACCCACUGCGUUCCAGAAAAGAACAUGUACGAUUGCGUAUACGAAGGAAGAAUUUGGAGAAGGGAAAUAGAAA